rnacentral:rRNA from 1 species
GAUCAUGGCUCAGAUUGAACGCUGGCGGCAUGCCUUACACAUGCAAGUCGAACGGCAGCACGGGUGCUUGCACCUGGUGGCGAGUGGCGAACGGGUGAGUAAUAUAUCGGAACGUACCUUAUCGUGGGGGAUAACGCAGCGAAAGCUGCGCUAAUACCGCAUACGCCCUGAGGGGGAAAGCGGGGGACCGUAAGGCCUCGCGCGAUUAGAGCGGCCGAUAUCUGAUUAGCUUGUUGGUAAGGUAAGAGCUUACCAAGGCGACGAUCAGUAUCUGGUUUGAGAGGACGAUCAGACACACUGGAACUGAGACACGGUCCAGACUCCUACGGGAGGCAGCAGUGGGGAAUUUUCCGCAAUGGGCGAAAGCCUGACGGAGCAAUACCGCGUGAGGGAAGAAUGCCUAUGGGUUGUAAACCUCUUUUUCAGGGAGGAAUCAAAUGACGUGUACCUGAAGAAUAAGCAUCGGCUAACUCCGUG